UACGAAGGGGGCUAGCGUUGCUCGGAAUUACUGGGCGUAAAGCGCACGUAGGCGGAUAUUUAAGUCAGGGGUGAAAUCCCAGAGCUCAACUCUGGAACUGCCUUUGAUACUGGGUAUCUUGAGUAUGGAAGAGGUAAGUGGAAUUGCGAGUGUAGAGGUGAAAUUCGUAGAUAUUCGCAGGAACACCAGUGGCGAAGGCGGCUUACUGGUCCAUAACUGACGCUGAGGUGCGAAAGCGUGGGGAGCAAACAGG
rnacentral:rRNA from 1 species